AUCAAGAAAGUCAGUGCUUGCUUUACCGCUUAAAUACAUACGUAGUGGAAAAACUAACUUAAAGCGCUUAAAUAAAGUUUAUAUAUGGAGUAGUAGCAGCGGAAAAAAUUAAUGUUAAAAGCAAUGACUAUUUAUGGUCUCAUCGUUCAAAUUAUACUAAUUUGUUAUUGAACUUACAGUGUUUUGAUUAUUUUCUUUGAAAUAUCAAUUUCAAUGGAUUAUGUGCCGUUGAAAGAAUCGGACACAAAGGUUUAAAAUGCGAUUUCGAAGUAAACAAAUAGCUUCGUUCCUCAAAUUUCCUGGAUAAAACCUGUAAAACUGUCAAAAAGCAAAAUUGCUCUGAGAGAGAGAGAGGAGAGAAACAACUCAUAAAGUGCGGCAACGCUUUUCGGGUAAAAACUGGUAGAACUGUCAAAUACACCUUGGACGCAAUUUUUUGUCUACAUAGCAGUUUUAUCAUUUGGCGAUGUGCUAAAUUAUACGCAAAUACACAAACUUACAAAACUUGUUAUUUCUUCGCUACGAUAUAUUUAAUAAGAUUGGAUGGCAUUAUGUAGAUGACACGGCUACCGGAUUAUGGAUUACAAUUGAAUGAAGGAAAAUCGCAGUUUUUGGCAAAGAAAAUGUUGUAUAUAUGUAUAUCUAACGGCCGUACUUCGAUGUUUUUCAUCUUUCUACCAAAAGUUUACAGUUUUCGAAAGAACCUAAGUUAUGUUAAGGCUUAAAUAUUUGCAAAGUAAAUACAUAUGUAAAAACGUUUGUUUUAUAUAGAAUUUAUAGCAACGAGCUGAAAAAGUAAAUGAAAAUAUUUUACUUUUUUUUCUCGAUACACAUCAGUACAUACAUACAUACAUAUGUACACACUCGUAUGUAAAUGUUGAAAAAUAAAUAGAAAAAAUAUAUGUCUUAUUGAUAAAAAUAAAAAUGUGAAUUCGGAGAAAUAUUUUCGAAAAUCCUUUCUUUUACCAGAAAGGUGGAACCUCAA